UACGUAGGGGCCGAGCGUUGUCCGGAGUUACUGGGCGUAAAGCGCGCGCAGGCGGCUCGUCAAGCCUGACGUGAAAGCCCCCGGCUCAACCGGGGAGGGUCGUCGGGGACUGGCGGGCUUGAGGUCGGCAGGGGUUGGUGGAAUUCCCGGUGUAGUGGUGAAAUGCGUAGAGAUCAGGAGGAACACCGGUGGCGAAGGCGGGUCUCUGGGCCGAUACUGACGCUGAGGAGCGAAAGCGUGGGGAGCGAACAGG
rnacentral:rRNA from 1 species